rnacentral:rRNA from 1 species
GGAAUUUUCCACAAUGGGCGAAAGCCUGAUGGAGCAACGCCGCGUGCAGGAUGAAGGCUUUCGGGCCGUAAACUGCUUUUAUAUGUGACGAAUAUGACGGUAGCAUAUGAAUAAGGAUCGGCUAACUCCGUUCCAGCCGCCGCGGUCAUACGGAGGAUCCAAGCGUUAUCCGGAAUUACUGGGCGUAAAGAGUUGCGUAGGUGGCAUAGUAUGUCUGUAGUGAAAGCGUGUGGCUCAACCAUAUACACAUUACAGAAACUGCUAAGCUAGAGGGCGAGAGAGGUAACUAGAAUUCCUAGUGUAGGAGUGGAAUCCGUAGAUAUUAGGAGGAAUACCGAUGGCGUAGGCAGGUUACUGGCUCGUCCCUGACACUAAGGCACGAAAGCGUGGGGAGCAAA